UACGUAGGGGGCGAGCGUUGUCCGGAUUUAUUGGGCGUAAAGAGCUCGUAGGCGGCUCUGUAAGUCGGAUGUGAAAUCCCUCGGCUUAACUGAGGGCGGCCAUUCGAUACUGCGGAGCUAGAGGCCGGUAGGGGGAAAUGGAAUUCCUGGUGUAGCGGUGAAAUGCGCAGAUAUCAGGAGGAACACCGGUGACGAAGGCGGUGUCCUGGGCCGGUCCUAACGCUGAGGAGCGAAAGCUGGGGAGCAAACAGG
rnacentral:rRNA from 1 species